rnacentral:rRNA from 1 species
AUUGGACGCUGGCGGCAUGCCUUACACAUGCAAGUCGAACGGUAACGGGCCUUCGGGUGCCGACGAGUGGAGAACGGGUGCGUAAUACAUCGGAACGUGCCCGAUCGUGGGGGAUAACGAGGCGAAAGCUUUGCUAAUACCGCAUACGAUCUACGGAUGAAAGCAGGGGACCGCAAGGCCUUGCGCGGACGGAGCGGCCGAUGGCAGAUUAGGUAGUUGGUGGGAUAAAAGCUUACCAAGCCGACGAUCUGUAGCUGGUCUGAGAGGAUGAUCAGCCACACUGGAAUUGAGACACGGCCCAGCCUCCUACGGGAGGCACCAGUGGGGAAUUUUGGACAAUGGGGGCAAGCCUGAUGCAGCAAUGCCGCGUGGGGGAUGAAGGUCUUCGGUUUGUAAACUGCUUUUGUACGGAACGAAGAGCCUUCUAUUGAAACAUGCACGUCAUGACGGUACCGUACGAGAAAGCACCGGCUAACUACGUG